rnacentral:lncRNA from 1 species
AAAUUGGGAUCUUACAAGUAUAUUAUCCCUUUUUUGUUUAAAACUCAUUACAAAUCGAGAAGUGAAAAACAAUGUUAUCACCUUAUUCAAAGGAUUGAAAUAGUCUUGUUGGAGUUGUGUGGAGUUGAAUAAUUAUAAUUGUGAUAUUUGAUUAAAAAAAACUUGGCAGAACAAAAGAAAAAAAAAGUAGAAAAAGAAAAAAAUUGAAAAAAAAAAUUGAAAAAGAAAAGAAGGAUGUCAUUACAUAUUCCUUCUGAUCUGAAAAAAAGAAGAGAAAAAAGAAGAAAAAUAACU